AGUUUGGUCAAAAAUAAUAAACCUAAAAGAAAAUGGAAAUUUUAGGGCAUUUUGUGUUAAAUGCCUAAUUUUACCGAAAUGGGGAAUUUUAUUCCAUGAAUGGACCUUAGGUUAAAUUUUACUAUGUGAUUAAUUAAAUUAAAUGUGAGAGACAUUUAAUUUAAUUAAUUAAUGUUAAGUUUGGUGAUUAAAACUUAAUAAGAGUGAAAAAAAAAGGUGUCAAAAGCCAAUUUGGACUUUUCUUCUUAUGAAACCUUUAUUAACCUUUAAUAAAAAAAAAAAAUUAAAAAAAUAAUGAAAUGAUCAUAUAUGGCAAAGGGUGGCCAGCCAUGUGGUGUUUUAGAGUGGUGUGAACCCAAUUCUAUAAAGUUUAACUCCCAUUUUAAUUAAGAAGUCAAGUGGGCAAGUGGGUAGAAAAGCACUCAAGUGUUUUGUGAUAUUUUGAAGAGUUGUGUGAGCCAUUCUAACCCCCAAAUCCGACCACUCUCCCUCUCUCAUUCACUCUCAUCUGAUUUUUUUAAGACCAUUCAAAGUGUUCUCUCAAUAUUCAACCUCAAGAACACCAAGGAAAACUUGGAGGCUAAGUCUUGGUCUAGGAAGUAUUUUCCCUAAGUUGGUUAGGGUUUUUGAAAGGUUUUGGAGGAGCCAAAGCUAAUAGGAAGGUCCAAACCUUAAGCAAGAACACCAAAGAGUAUUGGCUAAGCGUAACUGGACUGAACGUUGGAGGGUGAAAACUUGCUGAGCGCUAAGGACUCAAAGUCAGUGCAAGGGCAAGGCAGAGCAGUGAGCGCUGGAGUCUUCCUUGCAAAUGUACAUGUGGACCGACCUUUUGGGAAGCCUUUUUAUUUUUGGAAAUGUUGUGUAAUUUUCCUAAACUAGGCUCACUCUAAUCUUUAUAAAACAUGUUUGUAAUUAAAUGUUA